GGCACCGAAUAUCCCAAUCGGCCAACCUUUCCCUCAAGGCCUGCUGCUACACCUUUUGGUGUUCCGCAGAGUACAACUCCUUUUCAAUCAUCUCGUCCAGUGGUUGGAUCUGAUGCUUCUGCUUUUCGGCCUGCUCCUCCUACUUCUUCUCCGGCUAUGCCACCUCCUUCCUCAUCUGGACCGAUGGUUGGACCAGGGAUAUCUUCUUUUAGACCGAUGCCACCCGGGAUGCCUAAUGAUGCAGGGAGGCCACCUCCAACAUCAACACCUCCAUAUGGGCCGACAGUCUCUGGCCCUUUCCCACGUUUCCC
rnacentral:lncRNA from 1 species